UACAGAAUAUUGCCACUCAUCAGCAUCUGCAGCAUCUAAGGUCCUUUUUGUCACAUAUUCAUAUAUACUUGACAUUCUGCUUACUUUGUUUGCAACAUUUAAGAAUUGAGCUUCUCAAUAUUGCAUGAAUAUUUCAAUGAUGUACGAUGUUUCCCAUUCAAGCCACAGAUCCUUUUCGUCACAUAUUCAUAUUUACUUGAGAUUCUGCUUACUUUGUUUGCAACAUUUAAGAAUUGAGCUUCUCAAUAUUGCAUGCAUAUUUCUAAUGAUGUAUGAUGUUUCCCAUUCAUGCCACAGAUGAGGAAUCAUUGUCCGCAUGCAUUACAAUCAGGGGAUCGUUCCCCAUGUAAAGAUCCGACGAAUACACCUACUCAGGAGACUGCAAAUCAAGCAGAUUCUUCUUCGUCACUGCAUGUGCCACGAACCCCUUUGAGCAACAUAACCAACUCAGUUGUAAAUCAAGAU
rnacentral:lncRNA from 1 species